rnacentral:misc_RNA from 1 species
UCUCCGUAGGUGAACCUGCGGAGGGAUCACUACAGGCUUGCAAAAGCUCUGAAACCACUGUUUAUCUACCUGCAUCUGCUUCGGCGGGCGGCCCCAGGGCGGGGCCGUAGCCGCAAGGCGCCCGCCGAAGACCCCUAAACUCUGUCGUCUUGAGAAUCUCUGAGUAUCAUAUUAAACAGAAAACAACUUUCAACAACGGAUCUCUUGGCUCUG